CUCAGGAUGAACGCUAGCGGCAGGCCUAACACAUGCAAGUCGAGGGGUAACAUUGGUGCUUGCACCAGAUGACGACCGGCGCACGGGUGCGUAACGCGUAUACAAUCUACCUUUUGCUAAGGGAUAGCCCAGAGAAAUUUGGAUUAAUACCUUAUAGUAUGCAGACUUCUCAUGGAGAUUGCAUUAAAGAUUACGGCAAAAGAUGAGUAUGCGUCCUAUUAGUUUGUUGGUGUGGUAACGGCACACCAAGACUACGAUAGGUAGGGGCCCUGAGAGGGGGAUCCCCCACACUGGUACUGAGACACGGACCAGACUCCUACGGGAGGCAGCAGUGAGGAAUAUUGGACAAUGGAGGCAACUCUGAUCCAGCCAUGCCGCGUGCAGGAAGACUGCCCUAUGGGUUGUAAACUGCUUUUAUACAGGAAGAAACACUCCCUCGUGAGGGAGCUUGACGGUACUGUAAGAAUAAGGAUCGGCUAACUCCGUGCCAGCAGCCGCGGUAAUACGGAGGAUCCAAGCGUUAUCCGGAAUCAUUGGGUUUAAAGGGUCCGUAGGUGGAUAAUUAAGUCAGAGGUGAAAGUUUGCAGCUCAACUGUAAAAUUGCCUUUGAUACUGGUUAUCUUGAGUUAUUGUGAAGUAGUUAGAAUAUGUAGUGUAGCGGUGAAAUGCAUAGAUAUUACAUAGAAUACCAAUUGCGAAGGCAGAUUACUAACAAUAUACUGACACUGAUGGACGAAAGCGUGGGUAGCGAACAGGAUUAGAUACCCUGGUAGUCCACGCCGUAAACGAUGGAUACUAGCUGUUGGGCUUCGGCUCAGUGGCUAAGCGAAAGUGAU
rnacentral:rRNA from 1 species